rnacentral:rRNA from 1 species
AGUGAACGCUGGCGGCGUGCCUAAUACAUGCAAGUCGAACGGAGUGGCGCACGGGUGAGUAAUUUAUAGCUAAUCUGCCCUACACUAGAGGACAACAGUUGGAAACGACUGCUAAUACUCUAUAGUGUAGGAUUAGGCUAUAUUGUAUCAGCUAGUUGGUGAGGUAAUGGCUCACCAAGGCUAUGACGCAUAACUGGUCUGAGAGGAUGAUCAGUCAAAACGGAAGUGAGGAACGGGGCAGGAUCCUAGCGGAGGGAGCAGUAGGGAAGAUUGCCUAAUGGGGGAAACCCUGAAGAAGCAACGCCGCGUGGAGGAUGACACUUUUCGGAGCGUAAACUCCUUUUGUUAGGGAAGCGGUACCUAACGAAUAAGCACCGGCUAACUCCGUGCCAGCAGCCGCGGUAAUAC